UUAAAAACUUUAAUGAUGAUCUCUAAGUGCUUGAAUCUUUUUAUAAAUACUUACAUUAUUUGUACAUUCAAUAGUUUUGUUACCCAGAUUUAAGUGAAAAUGGAAAUCGCUAUAUAUUUUUGGUAAAUUACGUGGUUUGCGUUUGUGUGGUUUUGCGUUUGUGUGAUUUGUGUUCGCGUGGUUUGCGUUCAUGUGGUUUGCAUUUGCGUGGUUUGUAUGGUUUUCGUUUACAUGGUUUGUAUUUGUGUGGUUACUUAAUUAUUUUAAAUUUUGUGUGUGUAGGAAAAAUGGGAAAACUAAUAUAUUUGCUUGGAUAUGAUAGAUAUGGAGUUAACGAAGGUGAUAACAGUUUAAAAUAUAUUUGUGGAGUUCAAACAUUUGUAUCAAUAGUAAAAAAAUAAAUUAUGAUGGAUUUGUAGAAGCAGUGUGUUCUCGUUUGUGCAUUAAUCGAAGUUAUAAUAUUGUAAAAAUUUAUAUGCAAAAUCCAACCAUCUAUAGUGAUGUACUAUAUUUGUUAAAGGAUGAUUUUGAUAUUUAGAUUAUGAUGAGGUUAUUAAAGACACAUAAAAGGGAUCUGUUAUUUCUUACCGUGUUUACAAGGCCUACAGAAGUUAGAACCAAUAUGUAACAACAGCGAAUUGAACCACAACUAGGAGUUCAAUCAUUUGAAGCAAUAUGGCAGGUUCAUAUAAUUUUCCUAUUUCUGUGCAUGAUGUUGAAUUAUACACUUAUAAUAUUUUUUUGAUCAUGUAGAGACUUCUAAUAAUCAACUUACUCCGUGGGUAGAGGAGAAAAUAACAUGUCAUAUCCUUAGAUCAACUAAUAUGGUUGUCAAACCAAUUACUAUGCAUAGAUAUGAAGUGCACGGUGUGGGCUAGUCGGUCGCUAUAGUGGAUCUAUGUGUGAGAGAGUGCAGUUGUAAGAAAUUUCAAUUGUCAUAUAUUCCAUGUACACACGUUGUAGUCGUGACUAGGUUCCAUAAUCUUUUUGAUUGUUAUCAAUGGGUAAACAAAUACUAUUCAACAGAAUAUUGGCAAGCUGUAAAUAAAGAUAGUGUUGAACCACUCAGAGAUCCUUUUGAAUAGGUACAUCUAGAGGAUUUUCCUAUGGUCCUUCCAUCUCCAAUGCAACAUCAAUGUUCAAAUCGACCAUCGGAACACAAUAGGAGACCAUCUCAGGGGGAGGAAGUAUGUCAGCCUGAUUAUAGUUGGUGUCACAAGAGUGGACAUACUUAGAUUACAUAUACGAACCCUUUAUCCGAGACAAGUAGAGGGUGUUCAGGGUGUGCGAGGCUGGGUGAAUUUGCACUCCAGUGUUGCGAGGUGUUGAACUGUGACAAAUUUUAUUUUAUUUUUGUAUUAUAAACUUUUUAAACAUUCAAUGGUUAUUAUAUGGUAUUUUAACAUUUUAAAAAAAUUUCGGCAUAUUCUCCCCUA